AUUGAACGCUGGCGGCAUGCCUUACACAUGCAAGUCGAACGGUAACGCGGGGCAACCUGGCGACGAGUGGCGAACGGGUGAGUAAUAUAUCGGAACGUGCCCAGUAGUGGGGGAUAGCCCGGCGAAAGCCGGAUUAAUACCGCAUACGACCUACGGGUGAAAGGCGGGGGAUCGCAAGACCUCGCGCUAUUGGAGCGGCCGAUAUCAGAUUAGGUAGUUGGUGGGGUAAAGGCCUACCAAGCCUACGAUCUGUAGCUGGUCUGAGAGGACGACCAGCCACACUGGGACUGAGACACGGCCCAGACUCCUACGGGAGGCAGCAGUGGGAAUUUUGGGACAAUGGGCGCGAAGCCUGAUCCAGCCAUGCCGCGUGC
rnacentral:rRNA from 1 species